CACUAUCGGACAUCCCUAAUUAUAAACAAUACUAUACGAUACUACGAUAUACUACUGUACUACAAUCUGCUGUAAUGAUUUUUGCUGUGUCAGAUGGUGUUGAGCAACGUCAAAUUAGGCAAUGCUGAGGACAACUAAUUGAAAGUACUAGACACACUUCCUGCUCAGUGUUAGACACCAGAAAUUCAUCCAACAUGUAUUCUUUAUAAAGCAACAAAUGAGGCAAAGUGGAGUGCACUAUUUGGCUGCAGCCAGCAGAGGUGCUGUUGCUUGAGUCUCAACUAGUUUGCUGUGUAAAGAAGUUAAGUGUGACGUCAACGAUGGCAAGUUGAGCUACUGUACAUCCAUCAAGUGACAAGAUGCUUUGGCAAGAUACACCCAGCAGGACCUCCCAGCACAUGUGGCAGUGACCGGCGCGGUCCGCGACCUCUCACCUCAUCUGGGUCGGAAAGCUUGAACUCCCAGCCAUCGCCUGUCCAGCUGAUGAAGGACUGGCAAGAUUUGUCGGUCAGCAGCUCCAGUAGAAACUGCCACAGCUGGAUGGGCCCCGGUACCUGCAGAGUGGACCACAUCACACACAGGAGGUGCAUUUAGUUGACGUUUUAUUCUUCUGCUUUGAAAACACACAUCACUGUAGUAUUAUUACACCUGCUCAUUUGUAAUAUUUAUGUUUAGGCCCAAUCCCAAUGUUCACCCUCGAAAUGAAGCAACAAGGGGGAGAGCUUUGUCAUCUUCCCUAGGAAUUGGGAGAGAGCACUUGCUACGUCACUGCAUAGUUUAAGUUUGGGCACGUAAGCAACUACGUAGUUACGUUUGCACAUACGUACCUAGGGUUGUCCCGAUUACUGUAACCGGUACCAAAAUGUAUAUCGAUAUGUAUCACGAUGCUUUCAAAUAAAGGGG